rnacentral:lncRNA from 1 species
ACUGCCCUCUUCUCUUCGUUGGAGGCACACGCCAUGGGGAAUUCUCCUUCGGACGGGAGGGAGGAAAUAUGGGGGAAGUGGUAGGAGGACAGGGCUCAGAGUGGAGUCCCCGAAGUAGAUUUUCCCAUUAUCUUUCUAGACCCAAAGCCCUGACCCCAGAAGCUGAGCCCCAGGAUGGCCCCGGUCUUGAAUAGCCAGGACCCUCGUGUGGCUUCCUGCUUACAAAGCGCUUUCACACACUUUAUUUCAUCUGCACACCACUGUGUGUUAUGGGAAGGUCUCCAAGGGAAACUGCUUCAUGAGGAAGGGAAAGAGGCUGGUCGAGCAGCAAAGAAUCACUUCCGCCUAGCUUGGACCCAGGACCCACCCAGGAGGGAAGGGAAUUGUCCGCAGCCUGCAAAGAUCUUUCACUUAUCCAUCACAUUCAUUGAGCACUCCCCUGCACGCCAAGCACUGUUCUAAGGGCAGGAUGGCCAAGGUCCAGGCAGAAAGAAGAGCAUGGGGCCCAGUGCAGGAGUGAACGUUGCCAGCGCUAGAUAAAGCAAUGAGGCCAGGCUGGCUAGAAGAGACGAAUGAGGGAGGAGAGUGGCAAAGAUGCGGUCAGAGAUGUGCAGCAAG